rnacentral:rRNA from 1 species
UACAGAGGGUGCAAGCGUUAAUCGGAAUUACUGGGCGUAAAGCGUGCGUAGACGGUUAUGUAAGUCGGGUGUGAAAGCCCCGGGCUCAACCUGGGAAUGCCAUUCGAGACUGCAUAGCUAGGGUGCGGAAGAGGGAAGCGGAAUUUCCGGUGUAGCGGUGAAAUGCGUAGAUAUCGGAAGGAACACCAGUGGCGAAAGCAGCUUCCUGGUCCAGCACCGACGUCAGGCACGAAAGCGUGGGGAGCAAACAGG